CAAACGACUCUCGGCAACGGAUAUCUCGGCUCAUGCAUCGAUGAAGAACGUAGCAAAAUGCGAUACUUGGUGUGAAUUGCAGAAUCCCGUGAACCAUCGAGUUUUUGAACGCAAGUUGCGCCCGAAGCCAUUUGGUUGAGGGCACGUCUGCUUGGGCGUCACGC
rnacentral:rRNA from 1 species